rnacentral:misc_RNA from 1 species
GAUGAAGAACGCAGCGAAAUGCGAUAAGUAAUGUGAAUUGCAGAAUUCAGUGAAUCAUCGAAUCUUUGAACGCACAUUGCGCCCGCCAGUAUUCUGGCGGGCAUGCCUGUUCGAGCGUCAUUUCAACCAUCAAGCCCCAGGCUUGUGUUGGGGACCUGCUGCACUGGCAGCCCUUAAAAUCAGUGGCGGCGCCAUCUGGCUCUAAGCGUAGUAAUUCUUCUCGCUAUGGAGUCCUGGUGGAUGCUUGCCAUCAACCCCCAAUUUUUCUAUGGUUGACCUCGGAUCAGGUAGGGAUACCCGCUGAACUUAAGCAUAUCAAUAAGCGGAGGA